GCUCGGCAUGGACGCGGCCAAGGCCUAUGCACUGGAGUUGCGCGACCAGGCACUGCACGCGCUGCGGCCGUUCGAUACCGCCGCCGAGCC
rnacentral:tRNA from 1 species